rnacentral:rRNA from 1 species
AGAGCGAACGCUGGCGGCAGGCCUAACACAUGCAAGUCGAGCGCCCCGCAAGGGGAGCGGCAGACGGGAGAGUAACACGUGGGAACGUACCCUUUGGUUCGGAACAACACAGGGAAACUUGUGCUAAUACCGGAUAAGCCCUUACGGGGAAAGAUUUAUUGCCAAAGGAUCGGCCCGCGUCUGAUUAGCUUGUUGGUGAGGUAACGGCUCACCAAGGCUACGAUCAGUAGCUGGUCUGAGAGGAUGAUCAGCCUCACUGGGACUGAGACACGGCCCAGACUCCUACGGGAGGCAGCAGUGGGGAAUAUUGGACAAUGGGCGCAAGCCUGAUCCAGCCAUGCCGCGUGGAUGAUGAAGGCCCUAGGGUUGUAAAGUCCUUUCGACGGGGAAGAUAAUGACGGUACCCGUAGAAGAAGCCCAGGCUAACUUCGUGCCAGCAGCCGC